AGACUUCUGUAUCUGUGCUGAGAUUUCGUCACACACCAGACCACAUGGGCUGAUGAGACCAUUACAAACUAAUUA
rnacentral:pre_miRNA from 1 species